rnacentral:rRNA from 1 species
UACGUAGGGUGCAAGCGUUGUCCGGAUUCACUGGGUGUAAAGGGUGCGCAGGCGGGCUCUUAAGUCAAAGGUGAAAUCUCUCGGCUUAACCGAGAAAUUGCCUUUGAUACUGAGAGCCUUGAGUACGGGAGAGGGAGAUGGAAUUCCAGGUGUAGCGGUGAAAUGCGUAGAUAUCUGGAGGAACACCGGAGGCGAAGGCGGUCUCCUGGCCCGUUACUGACGCUCAGACACGAAAGCGUGGGGAGCAAACAGG